GUGCUCACUUUGGCAGCACAUAUACUAAAAUUGGAAUGAUACAGAGAUUAGCAUGGCCCCUGUGCCAGGAUAACAUGAAAAUUUGUGAAGCGGUCCGUAUUAAA